GAUACCCCACUAUGCCCCACCGUAAAAUAUAUAUUUACACUAUCAACGCCAGGGUAUUACGAGCCUUAGCUUAAAACCCAAAGGACUUGACGGUGUCCCAUCCAACUAGAGGAGCCUGUUCUAUAAUCGAUAACCCCCGAUAUACCCAACCCCCCCUUGCCAACCAGCCUGUAUACCUCCGUCGUAAACUUACCAUAUGAAUGCCAACAGUAAGUUCAAUGAUUUAACACCAAUACGUCAGGUCAAGGUGCAGCUCAUGAUGGGGAAGCAAUGGGCUACAAUUUCUAAAAUAGAACACACGGAAUGCUGCAUGAAACACAGCCACGAAGGUGGAUUUAGUAGUAAAAAGUAAAUAAAGUGCCCUUUUUAAUAAGGCCCUGGGACGUGUACACACCGCCCGUCACCCUCUUCAACAGCACACAUAUGUUCUUAACAAGUUUUGCACUUUAGAAGAGGCAAGUCGUAACAUGGUAAGUGUACCGGAAGGUGUACUUGGAUUACAAAGUGUAGUUUAACAAAACUCCUCGCUUACAUCGAGAAAUUAUCUGUGCAAAUCAGAUUACUUUGAGCCAAAAAUCAAGCCUAACUACUUUUUAUAAAAACUACACUCAACUAAGCCACAAUAAAACAUUUUAUUAGUUUAGUAAAGGAGAUUAAAAAACUCUUUAGCGCUUUACUGUUAGUACCGCAAGGGAAAGGUGAAAUAGUUUUGAAAUAGCCUUAAGCAAAAAAAAGCAGAGAUUAUUACUCGUACCUUUUGCAUCAUGGUUUAGCUAGUCUUCUUCAAGCAAAGCGAAACAUCAGUUUGACCCCCCGAAACUAAGCGAGCUACUUCAGAACAGCUUAAUAGAGCCAACCCGUCUCUGUCGCAAAAGAGUGGGAUGAUUUUUAAGUAGAGGUGAAAAGCCUACCGAGCUUAGAGAUAGCUGGUUAUUCAGGAAAAGAAUUUUAGUUCAACCUUAAGUUUAUUCAUUAACUCAAAAACCCCCUUCAAACUUAAGAGCUAUUCAGAUAAGGCACAGCUUAUUUGAAAAAGGAUACAACCUAUAAAAAAGGGUAAAAAUUUUUAUCAGUGGUAAGUGGGCCUAAAAGCAGCCACCUUUAAGAAAGCGUUAAAGCUCCUCUUUUCUUUCAUCUUAAUUCCAAAAUACACCUUUAACCCUUUAUUCCUACUGAAUGAUUCUAUAUUUAUAUAGAAAUCCCCCUGCUAAAACUAGUAACAAGAAAUUGAUUAUUCUCCAAAAUAUUAGUAUAGGCCAAAAUGGACAAACCAUUGGUUAUUAACGUCAAUAAAAUAAUAUAGUAACUUUACUAGAAAAGCCUAUUAAUUCUCACGUUAACCUUACACAAGUAUAUUUCUGGAAAGAUUAAAAGAAAGAGAAGGAACUCGGCAAAUCAUAGCCCCGCCUGUUUACCAAAAACAUCGCCUCUUGAAAAAUUAUAAGAGGUCCAGCCUGCCCAGUGAUAUAAUUUAACGGCCGCGGUACCCUGACCGUGCGAAGGUAGCAUAAUCACUUGUUCUCUAAAUAAGGACUAGUAUCAACGGCACCACGAGGGUUAUACUGUCUCCUCUUUUUAAUCAGUGAAACUGACCUCCCCGUGAAGAGGCGGGGAUAAUUAUACAAGACGAGAAGACCCCAUGGAGCUUAAAACCCAAUAACAGCCCACACUAUAUAUAUCCAAAAAAUGAAAAAGCAAUGUUUAUUGGUUUUGGGUUGGGGUGACCACGGAGAAUAACUAAACCUCCACGAUGAAUGGACUUAUCCUAAUCUAAGAGCUACUACUCUAAGAAUUAAUAAUUUAACAUAAUAUGAUCCGGCAACCGAUCAACGAACCAAGUUACCCUGGGGAUAACAGCGCAAUCCAUUUCAAGAGCCCUUAUCGACAAAUGGGUUUACGACCUCGAUGUUGGAUCAGGGUAUCCUAGUGGUGCAGCAGCUACUAAAGGUUUGUUUGUUCAACAAUUAAAACCCUACGUGAUCUGA
rnacentral:misc_RNA from 1 species